rnacentral:rRNA from 1 species
GCGCAUUGCGCAGUCUACACAUGCAGUCGAGCGGUAGCACAGAGAGCUUGCUCUCGGGUGACGAGCGGCGGACGGGUGAGUAAUGUCUGGGAAACUGCCUGAUGGAGGGGGAUAACUACUGGAAACGGUAGCUAAUACCGCAUAAUGUCGCAAGACCAAAGUGGGGGACCUUCGGGCCUCAUGCCAUCAGAUGUGCCCAGAUGGGAUUAGCUAGUAGGUGGGGUAACGGCUCACCUAGGCGACGAUCCCUAGCUGGUCUGAGAGGAUGACCAGCCACACUGGAACUGAGACACGGUCCAGACUCCUACGGGAGGCAGCAGUGGGGAAUAUUGCACAAUGGGCGCAAGCCUGAUGCAGCCAUGCCGCGUGUGUGAAGAAGGCCUUCGGGUUGUAAAGCACUUUCAGCGGGGAGGAAGGCGGUGAGGUUAAUAACCUUAUCGAUUGACGUUACCCGCAGAAGAAGCACCGGCUAACUCCGUGCCAGCAGCCGCGGUAAUACGGAGGGUGCAAGCGUUAAUCGGAAUUACUGGGCGUAAAGCGCACGCAGGCGGUCUGUCAAGUCGGAUGUGAAAUCCCCGGGCUCAACCUGGGAACUGCAUUCGAAACUGGCAGGCUAGAGUCUUGUAGAGGGGGGUAGAAUUCCAGGUGUAGCGGUGAAAUGCGUAGAGAUCUGGAGGAAUACCGGUGGCGAAGGCGGCCCCCUGGACAAAGACUGACGCUCAUGUGCGAAAGCGUGGGGAGCAAACAGGAUUAGAUACCCUGGUAGUCCACGCUGUAAACGAUGUCGAUUUGGAGGUUGUGCCCUUGAGGCGUGGCUUCCGGAGCUAACGCGUUAAAUCGACCGCCUGGGGAGUACGGCCGCAAGGUUAAAACUCAAAUGAAUUGACGGGGGCCCGCACAAGCGGUGGAGCAUGUGGUUUAAUUCGAUGCAACGCGAAGAACCUUACCUGGUCUUGACAUCCACAGAACUUUGCAGAGAUGGUUUGGUGCCUUCGGGAACUGUGAGACAGGUGCUGCAUGGCUGUCGUCAGCUCGUGUUGUGAAAUGUUGGGUUAAGUCCCGCAACGAGCGCAACCCUUAUCCUUUGUUGCCAGCGGUUAGGCCGGGAACUCAAAGGAGACUGCCAGUGAUAAACUGGAGGAAGGUGGGGAUGACGUCAAGUCAUCAUGGCCCUUACGACCAGGGCUACACACGUGCUACAAUGGCAUAUACAAAGAGAAGCGACCUCGCGAGAGCAAGCGGACCUCAUAAAGUAUGUCGUAGUCCGGAUUGGAGUCUGCAACUCGACUCCAUGAAGUCGGAAUCGCUAGUAAUCGUAGAUCAGAAUGCUACGGUGAAUACGUUCCCGGGCCUUGUACACACCGCCCGUCACACCAUGGGAGUGGGUUGCAAAAGAAGUAGGUAGCUUAACCUCGGAGGGCGCUACCAGCUUGAGGCCCCC